GAUGAACGCUGGCGGCGUGCCUAAUACAUGCAAGUCGAGCGAACGGACGAGAAGCUUGCUUCUCUGAUGUUAGCGGCGGACGGGUGAGUAACACGUGGAUAACCUACCUAUAAGACUGGGAUAACUUCGGGAAACCGGAGCUAAUACCGGAUAAUGUUUUGAACCGCAUGGUUCAAAAGUGAAAGACGGUCUUGCUGUCACUUAUAGAUGGAUCCGCGCUGCAUUAGCUAGUUGGUAAGGUAACGGCUUACCAAGGCAACGAUGCAUAGCCGACCUGAGAGGGUGAUCGGCCACACUGGAACUGAGACACGGUCCAGACUCCUACGGGAGGCAGCAGUAGGGAAUCUUCCGCAAUGGGCGAAAGCCUGACGGAGCAACGCCGCGUGAGUGAUGAAGGUCUUCGGAUCGUAAAACUCUGUUAUUAGGGAAGAACAUAUGUGUAGGUAACUGUGCACAUCUUGACGGUACCUAAUCAGAAAGCCACGGCUAACUACGUGCCAGCAGCCGCGGUAAUACGUAGGUGGCAAGCGUUAUCCGGAAUUAUUGGGCGUAAAGCGCGCGUAGGCGGUUUUUUAAGUCUGAUGUGAAAGCCCACGGCUCAACCGUGGAGGGUCAUUGGAAACUGGAAAACUUGAGUGCAGAAGAGGAAAGUGGAAUUCCAUGUGUAGCGGUGAAAUGCGCAGAGAUAUGGAGGAACACCAGUGGCGAAGGCGACUUUCUGGUCUGUAACUGACGCUGAUGUGCGAAAGCGUGGGGAUCAAACAGGAUUAGAUACCCUGGUAGUCCGCGCCGUAAACGAUGAGUGCUAAGUGUUAGGGGGUUUCCGCCCCUUAGUGCUGCAGCUAACGCAUUAAGCACUCCGCCUGGGGAGUACGACCGCAAGGUUGAAACUCAAAGGAAUUGACGGGGACCCGCACAAGCGGUGGAGCAUGUGGUUUAAUUCGAAGCAACGCGAAGAACCUUACCAAAUCUUGACAUCCUUUGACAACUCUAGAGAUAGAGCUUUCCCCUUCGGGGGACAAAGUGACAGGUGGUGCAUGGUCGUCGUCAGCUCGUGUCGUGAGAUGUUGGGUUAAGUCCCGCAACGAGCGCAACCCUUAAGCUUAGUUGCCAUCAUUAAGUUGGGCACUCUAAGUUGACUGCCGGUGACAAACCGGAGGAAGGUGGGGAUGACGUCAAAUCAUCAUGCCCCUUAUGAUUUGGGCUACACACGUGCUACAAUGGACAAUACAAAGGGCAGCGAAACCGCGAGGUCAAGCAAAUCCCAUAAAGUUGUUCUCAGUUCGGAUUGUAGUCUGCAACUCGACUACAUGAAGCUGGAAUCGCUAGUAAUCGUAGAUCAGCAUGCUACGGUGAAUACGUUCCCGGGUCU
rnacentral:rRNA from 1 species